UACGUAGGGUGCGAGCGUUAAUCGGAAUUACUGGGCGUAAAGUGUGCGCAGGCGGCAGAGCAAGUCGAGUGUGAAAGCCCCGGGCUUAACCUGGGAACUGCGUUUGAUACGGCAGGGCUAGAGUUCGGGAGAGGAGAGUGGAAUUCCCAGUGUAGAGGUGAAAUUCGUAGAUAUUGGGAAGAACACCGGUGGCGAAGGCGGCUCUCUGGACCGAUACUGACGCUGAGGCGCGAAAGCGUGGGGAGCAAACAGG
rnacentral:rRNA from 1 species